rnacentral:rRNA from 1 species
GACGAACGCUGGCGGCGCGCCUAACACAUGCAAGUCGAACGAGCGAGAGAGAGCUUGCUUUCUCGAGCGAGUGGCGAACGGGUGAGUAACGCGUGAGGAACCUGCCUCAAAGAGGGGGACAACAGCUGGAAACGACUGCUAAUACCGCAUAAGCCCACGGCUCGGCAUCGAGCAGGGGGAAAAGGAGCAAUCCGCUUUGAGAUGGCCUCGCGUCCGAUUAGCUAGUUGGUGAGGUAACGGCCCACCAAGGCGACGAUCGGUAGCCGGACUGAGAGGUUGAACGGCCACAUUGGGACUGAGACACGGCCCAGACUCCUACGGGAGGCAGCAGUGGGGAAUAUUGCACAAUGGGGGAAACCCUGAUGCAGCGACGCCGCGUGGAGGAAGAAGGUCUUCGGAUUGUAAACUCCUGUUGUUGGGGAAGAUAAUGACGGUACCCAACAAGGAAGUGACGGCUAACUACGUG